GGGGGAUAACGGCUGGAAACGGCCGCUAAUACCCCAUAUGCCGAGAGGUGAAAUGAAUUUCGCCUGAGGAUGAGCCCGCGUCUGAUUAGCUAGUUGGUGUGGUAAUGGCUCACCAAGGCUUCGAUCAGUAGCUGGUCUGAGAGGAUGAUCAGCCACACUGGGACUGAGACACGGCCCAGACUCCUACGGGAGGCAGCAGUGGGGAAUUUUCCGCAAUGGGCGAAAGCCUGACGGAGCAACGCCGCGUGAGGGAUGAAGGCCUCUGGGCUGUAAACCUCUUUUUUCAAGGAAGAAGACCUGACGGUACUUGAAGAAUAAGCCACGGCUAAUUCCGUGCCAGCAGCCGCGGUAAUACGGGAGUGGCAAGCGUUAUCCGGAAUUAUUGGGCGUAAAGCGUCCGCAGGCGGCCCUGAAAGUCUGUCGUUAAAGCGUGGAGCUCAACUCCAUUUAAGCGAUGGAAACUACAGGGCUAGAGUGUGGUAGGGGCAGAGGGAAUUCCCGGUGUAGCGGUGAAAUGCGUAGAUAUCGGGAAGAACACCAGUGGCGAAGGCGCUCUGCUGGGCCAUAACUGACGCUCAUGGACGAAAGCCAGGGGAGCGAAAGGGAUUAGAUACCCCUGUAGUCCUGGCCGUAAACGAUGAACACUAGGUGUCGGGGGAAUCGACCCCCUCGGUGUCGUAGCCAACGCGUUAAGUGUUCCGCCUGGGGAGUACGCACGCAAGUGUGAAACUCAAAGGAAUUGACGGGGGCCCGCACAAGCGGUGGAGUAUGUGGUUAAUUCGAUGCAACGCGAAGAACCUUACCAGGGUUUGACAUCCUGCGAAUCCCUUGGAAACGAGGGAGUGCCUUCGGGAGCGCAGAGACAGGUGGUGCAUGGCUGUCGUCAGCUCGUGUCGUGAGAUGUUGGUUAAGUCCCGCAACGAGCGCAACCCACGUCGUUAGUUGCCAGCAUUCAGUUGGGCUCUCUAGCGAGACCGCCGGUGAUAAACCGGAGGAAGGUGUGGAUGACGUCAAGUCAUCAUGCCCCUUACACCUGGGCUACACACGUACUACAAUGCUACGGACAAAGGGCAGCAAGCUCGCGAGAGUUAGCAAAUCCCAUAAACCGUGGCUCAGUUCAGAUCGUAGGCUGCAACUCGCCUACGUGAAGGAGGAAUCGCUAGUAAUCGCAGGUCAGCAUACUGCGGUGAAUACGUUCCCGGGCCUUGUACACACCGCCCGUCACACCAUGGAAGUUGGCCACGCCCGAAGUCGUUACUCCAACCCA
rnacentral:rRNA from 1 species